UAGUGGAAGGAGGAUCCAUCCAUGUAGUUGUCGGUGAGACAUGGUAGCUACCGAGCGGCGCGGUCGGGGCAACUGGCCGGGUCGAAGCCUCGGGAGAAAGUCCGCCUUUGGGCGGGCGAGCGACCCAGUAGGCCGUAACGCGA
rnacentral:ncRNA from 1 species